rnacentral:rRNA from 1 species
AGUGAACGCUGGCGGUAGGCCUAACACAUGCAAGUCGAACGGCAGCACAGUAAGAGCUUGCUCUUACGGGUGGCGAGUGGCGGACGGGUGAGGAAUACAUCGGAAUCUACUUUUUCGUGGGGGAUAACGUAGGGAAACUUACGCUAAUACCGCAUACGACCUACGGGUGAAAGCAGGGGAUCUUCGGACCUUGCGCGAUUGAAUGAGCCGAUGUCGGAUUAGCUAGUUGGCGGGGUAAAGGCCCACCAAGGCGACGAUCCGUAGCUGGUCUGAGAGGAUGAUAGCCCACACUGGAACUGAGACACGGUCCAGACUCCUACGGGAGGCAGCAGUGGGGAAUAUUGGACAAUGGGCGCAAGCCUGAUCCAGCCGUACCGCGUGGGUGAAGAAGGCCUUCGGGUUGUAAAGCCCUUUUGUUGGGAAAGAAAAGCAGCAGGUUAAUACCCCGCUGUUCUGACGGUACCCAAAGAAUAAGCACCGGCUAACUUCGUG